CAUGCAAGUCGAACGAGGAUAUACCUUUCGGGGUAUAAACCGAGUGGCGCAAGGGUGAGUAAUGCAUAGAUUACCUGCCUCUAGGAUAAGGACAACUUUGUGAAAACGAAGCUAAUACUUAAUAAUACAAGAGAGAAUAAUUCUUUUUUGUCAAUGGGAGGGUAGCAAUACCUUUUGCCUAGAGAGGGGUUUAUGUCCUAUCAGCUUGUUGGUGGGGUAAUGGCCUACCAAGGCGAAGACGGGUAGCCGGUCUUAGAGGAUGGUCGGCCACACUGGGACUGAGACACUGCCCAGACUUCUACGGAAGGCUGCAGUCGAGAAUCUUUCGCAAUGCCCGAAAGGGUGACGAAGCGACGCCGCGUGAGUGAGGAAGGCCUUCGGGUUGUAAAGCUCUGUCAGGUGUUAAGAAAUAUAAGUGUGCUAAUACCACAUUUAUUUGACAAAGGCGCCAAAGGAAGCCACGGCUAACUCUGUGCCAGCAGCCGCGGUAAUACAGAGGUGGCAAGCGUUGUUCGGAAUUAUUGGGCGUAAAGAGCACGUAGGUGGGUUCGUAAGUCAGAUGUGAAAGCCUUCUGUUCAACGGAAGAAUUGCAUCUGAAACUGCGAGUCUUGAGUGUAGGAGGGGAGAAUGGAACUUCUGGUGGAGCGGUGAAAUGCGUAGAUAUCAGAAGGAACGCCGGCGGCGAAAGCGAUUCUCUGGCCUAUUACUGACACUCAGUGUGCGAAAGCUAGGGGAGCAAACGGGAUUAGAUACCCCGGUAGUCCUAGCUGUAAACGAUGGGCACUAAGUAGAGGGAAUUACCGAUGUUCUCUCUGCCGUAGCUAACGCAUUAAGUGCCCCGCCUGGGGAGUACGGCCGCAAGGCUGAAACUCAAAAGAAUUGACGGGGGCUCGCACAAGCGGUGGAGCAUGUGGCUUAAUUCGAUGCAACGCGAAAAACCUUACCGGGGCUUGACAUGGUAGAAGUAGGAACCCGAAAGGGUAACGAACGGUAUCCAGUCCGUAGCUAUCACAGGUGUUGCAUGGCUGUCGUCAGCUCGUGUCGUGAGACGUUGGGUUAAGUCCCCUAACGAGCGAAACCCUUGUUUUUAGUUACCAGCGGGUUAUGCCGGGUACUCUAGAAAGACUGCCGUCGUCAAGACGGAGGAAGGUGGGGAUGACGUCAAGUCAUCAUGGCCCUUAUGCCCCGGGCUGCACACGUGCUACAAUGGUCGGUACAAACGGAAGCGAAGCCGAGAGGUGGAGCGAAUCCUAAAAAGCCGAUCUCAGUUCGGAUUGGAGGCUGAAAUUCGCCUCCAUGAAGUUGGAAUCGCUAGUAAUCGCGGAUCAGCAUUGCCGCGGUGAAUAUGUUCCCGAGCCUUGUACACACCGCCCGUCAAGCCACCCAAGCAGGAUGCACCCGAAAACAUUAUAUCUAACCAGGUUUACCUGGAGGAAAGUGUUGAAGGAGUGUUUUGUGAGGAGGACUAAGUCGUAACAAGGUAGUCGUAGGAGAACCUGCGGCUGGAUCACCUCCUUUCU
rnacentral:rRNA from 1 species